rnacentral:rRNA from 1 species
GGCGCACGGGUGCGUAACGCGUGGGAAUCUGCCCUUGGGUUCGGAAUAACUUCUGGAAACGGAAGCUAAUACCGGAUGAUGACGUAAGUCCAAAGAUUUAUCGCCCAAGGAUGAGCCCGCGUAGGAUUAGCUAGUUGGUGGGGUAAAGGCCCACCAAGGCGACGAUCCUUAGCUGGUCUGAGAGGAUGAUCAGCCACACUGGGACUGAGACACGGCCCAGACUCCUACGGGAGGCAGCAGUAGGGAAUAUUGGACAAUGGGCGAAAGCCUGAUCCAGCAAUGCCGCGUGAGUGAUGAAGGCCUUAGGGUUGUAAAGCUCUUUUACCCGGGAUGAUAAUGACAGUACCGGGAGAAUAAGCUCCGGCUAACUCCGUGCCAGCAGCCGCGGUAAUACGGAGGGAGCUAGCGUUGUUCGGAAUUACUGGGCGUAAAGCGCACGUAGGCGGCUAUUCAAGUCAGAGGUGAAAGCCCGGGGCUCAACCCCGGAACUGCCUUUGAAACUAGAUAGCUUGAAUCCAGGAGAGGUGAGUGGAAUUCCGAGUGUAGAGGUGAAAUUCGUAGAUAUUCGGAAGAACACCAGUGGCGAAGGCGGCUCACUGG